ensembl:lncRNA
GUUACUUUUUAUUCAUACUUUUUUAUUGUAGUCUACUUGGUAAAUAUUUUCUUCUUCUUGAACUGCACUGUUGGUAAGUCAGCAUUUCAUGAUAAAGUCUACACUUAUUGUAUUCGGCACAUGUGACAAAUAAAGUUUGAUUUGAAUUGAUUUGAAAAAGUCAAGGGGUCUGAAUACAUUCCAAAGGCACUGUAAUAACAUGAUACACUGUUAAACUAUCAACAGCCUCUCUGAUUAUUGACUUGUCCUAAAGAGCAGUUUACAUCCUGUCUGAUGACUGUCACAUCCAAUGAUCAAUCUAUCCAUCUAACCAUCCAUCCGCCCAUCCAUAUACCCAUCCAUCCUUCUGUCUAUCCUUCCUUCCAUCCAUCCAUCCAUACACCCAUCCAUGCUGUUACGUUCCCCAGUUUCUGUGUUGUGGGUUUGUAUGUCUGUGUGUAUUUCAGGAAAUGGAAUCCUGGAGCAGCUGAUUGGUCGGUCCCAUCGCUGAUUGGAGCUCUGACUCCACCCUCUCGUCAGGGGAAACAGCUGGAUCUUCAAUUACCAACUCCUUCUGCAGCUUGAAAAGCCAGUGUUCCUUUGUAUCCUUCUUUUCUCCUCCUGCCCCAGGCUGAUAACCUCUCCUCCUCCUCCAGAUGGAGAAGCAUGAUUCAUCACUCCAGAGAACGCGUUUCCACUGCUCCAGAGUCCAAUGCUGGCAAGCUUUACACCACUCCAGCCGACACUUGAAAUUGCGGAUGGUGAUCUAGCCUUGUGUGUGGCUGCUUGGCCAUGGAAACCCAUUUUAUGAAGCUCCAGACGAACAGUUCUUGUGCUGACGUUGCUUCCAGAGGCAGUUUGGAACAUUGUAGUAAGUGUUGCAACCGAAGGAGAGGAAGAGGAGGAGAAGGAGAGGAAGAGGAAAGGGACACACACAGACACCUCAUGCUCUUUCAAGGCAAACGUUGGCUACUUUGAAUAAUCUAAAUUAUAAAAUAUAUUUUGAUUUGUAUAACACUUUUUGGUUACUACAUGAUUCCAUAUGUGUAAUGUAAUAGUUUUGAUGUCUUCACUAUUAUUCUACAGUGUAGAAAAUAGUCAAAAUAAAGAAAAACCCUUGAAUGAG